UUUCAGAUUGUAAGCAGGAGAUGGUCUGAAACUGCCGGUCUGUAUUGGAGCACAACCGAGGUACACCCAGAAGCUGUGCUGUGGAAGAAUAUAGGACUAUAAAAUGGAUGCCAGGUUUCCUGUCUGGCAAAUGCAAGGUGGCUUCAUCAUCCACAGGGAGACCCCAGUCUCUGGCUGUAUCCAGCCAAGCCCCUGAGCAUCUCCCUGUGCUGGUGUCCUCCUCCUCCACUGGGAUGGGGCCCAGGCCCUGACUCCCCGAACUGUUCCAAUUAAAGAAGGAGCCUGUUUUUGAUGUCAACCACCUGGGAAGGGGAAGUA
rnacentral:lncRNA from 1 species